rfam:Dipodomys ordii ctg_broad_rename0002555, whole genome shotgun sequence.
AUGCUUCAGCAGGACGUUUACCCAAAUUACUACAAUAUAGAGAUUAUCAUGGCACUUACACAAGGAUGAUAUGAAAAUUUGUGAAAUAUUCCAUAUUUUU